GUAUCCCUGUAGCGUAAUGAAUAGCGUGUUGGACUGCUCAUCCAAAGGUCAUGGGUUCGAAUCCCACCUGAUAUG